UACGUAGGGGGCAAGCGUUGUCCGGAAUCAUUGGGCGUAAAGCGCGCGUAGGCGGCCAGCUAAGUCCGGUGUGAAAGUCACAGGCUCAACCUGUGAAUGCCGCUGGAAACUGUCUGGCUUGAGUCCGGAAGGGGCGAGUGGAAUUCCUGGUGUAGCGGUGAAAUGCGCAGAUAUCAGGAGGAACACCAAUGGCGAAGGCAGCUCGCUGGAACGGUACUGACGCUGAGGCGCGAAAGCGUGGGGAGCGAACAGG
rnacentral:rRNA from 1 species